UGCGCAGGCGGUGGCUCAAGUCAGAUGUGAAAUCCCCAGGCUUAACCUGGGAAUUGCAUUUGAAACUAAGUCGCUAGAGUUUGGCAGAGGGGGGUGGAAUUCCACGUGUAGCAGUGAAAUGCGUAGAGAUGUGGAGGAACACCGAUGGCGAAGGCAGCCCCCUGGGCUAAAACUGACGCUCAUGCACGAAAGCGUGGGGAGCAAACAGGAUUAGAUACCCUGGUAGUCCACGCCCUAAACCAUGUCAACUAGUUGUCGGGAGAGCAAUCUCUUGGUAACGCAGCUAACGCGUGAAGUUGACCGCCUGGGGAGUACGGUCGCAAGAUUAAAA
rnacentral:rRNA from 1 species